AUCUCUGUAGAGUCUGCAUAUCAAUAAGCGGAGGAAAAGAAACUAACAUAGGAUUCCCUUAGUAACGGCGAGUGAAGCGGGAAGAGCUCAAAUUUGAAAUCUUCAAGGUUUUACCUUGACGAAUUGUAGUUUAAAGAAGUGUUUUCUGUUGGUGUUUUGGUAAAAGUUCUUUGGAAUAGGACAUCAUAGAGGGUGAGAAUCCCGUAUUUGACCAUUACUUCCAGCGUUGUGAUACACUUUCAAAGAGUCGGAUUGUUUGGGAAUGCAGUCCAAAAUGGGUGGUAAAUUUCAUCUAAAGCUAAAUAUUGGCGAGAGACCGAUAGCGAACAAGUACCGUGAGGGAAAGAUGAAAAGAACUUUGAAAAGAGAGUUAAACAGUACGUGAAAUUGUCAAAAGGGAAGCGUUUGACACCAGUGUUGUUUUCUCGAAAAUCAAUUAAGAAUGGCUUGAUUUUGUGUUGUAUUGACCUUAUAAGCUUUCUUCACUUUUUUCGAGUCUUUCUUAAUGCACUUUUCGGUUAACAAGUCAACAUCAAUUUCUUUUGUUGUAAAAGAGUAUUCGGAAGGUGGCUUUCCUUUUCGGAGAAAGUGUUUAUAGCCCUAUACUUCUACAAUCGGAGAGAUUGAGGAUCUGCAGCGUAGAUCCUUCGGGGUUAGAUACACUUGUGCUAAGUCGUAGCUUUUCAUAGACAACUUGUUGACUAUGUUUAGUCAUGCGGCUUACUCGCUUAUGCUAUUUUACCUACGCUUAGGAUGUUGACGAGACUGUCGAUCUC
rnacentral:rRNA from 1 species